UUCCCAUCAUCUGAUUGCUCUGAUCCAUUUCUCAUCAACUCUUUCAUCCUAAUAGGCUUAAGGAGAUAAUCACAUGCUCCAUGUUGAACGCCUUUCAUGACCCUGCUUGUUUCUCCAUCAACAGACAUCACUGAACAGCAUUGUAAAGUGCAAUUUGUCAGAGUAUGGAGUUUCAAUCAAUGUGAUCAAAGGACUACAAUGAUAUCAUAUAACGAAAAUCUGGAAUAUAUUAUUGAUAGAGAACUGACUAAUGAAAGGAAGAUCCAUCUCAAGCCCAACAAGCUCAAGAAGUUUAAAACCAUCCAUGUCAGGCAUGUUUACGUCGCUGAUCACUAUAUCAUAUCCAUCUUUCCUUUCACGAAGCAAGUUUAGAGCAUGCCUUGCUAAACAACAUGUAGUCACUGAAGCAAAUGAAAGAAGAGUCAGAAUGACCUUAAGAAAUCAACUAUCAUAACAGAGAAUAAAUAAAGGAUGUAAUAUGUAUUUUGCUCUCCGAAAUUUGCUAAUUCUUUGAAAUCUCACUUAAAUGAAUGACAGAAGAAAAAGAAAAGGCAAUCGGUGACAAGAAUUGGAAACUAGUUGUGAGACAUAAAAUAAAAAGCUUUAAAUGUCUUCAGUUUCA